AGCAACCUGAAGAGAUGAAAAUAGAGAAAGGAAGCAGGCAGAACAUUAGUGGAAGAGGAGUUCCACUAUCGUGAUCCUGUUUGGGCAUCUGCACGCGAGUGUUUGUUUUCCCUUCUGCCAGGGGACUCCUGCAUGUGCCUCCUUCCUUCCCCUCCCCGUGUGCUUCCUCUGCCCUCAUCACAAAAAUCACUUUUCGUUAGACAUGGGAAAGCCAUCAGCACCUUCCGUCGCUCAGAACACCGUUUGCUGGAGCAGCUCUCGGAGUUACCAUCUUUGGCUCUCCCUGAAUGGAUCAUUUGCAAGAAAAUUACAGUAUGUGUCUGUCUGAAGUACCAGCUAAUUGAACACUCAGAAGACAAUCAGUGAUGCACUCCUGGAAGUCAGGCUAUGGACCAAAGAAACCAAAAGAUUUAUUGCACAGCUUUACCAUCGUGUCACUGCCUGAAUCCCUCGUCUGUGCCUCUGCAUGUGAAAAAGGAAGAAGCCCUCACGACCCUAGGACCCAGAGAUGCCAGAUGCCAUGCUUGCCUUGAAGCUGUUGCCAUGGGAUUUGUUGUCUGUACUCACUACUUUCUCUAAAUGAACCUGGGCCUAGUAUUUUUUGCAGGAUUCUGGUAGUUCCCCUUUCUUUCAUCUCCACAGGAGGAAAAAAUACUGCUUUGAAAUUUGGGGGUGGACUGCCUUCAAGAUCUGCUGCUAAUGCCCAUAGCCUUGCCAUUCUUAAUGCAGGUAAAAAAAUCAUUUUCUAAGCCUAAGUCACCAGGAAAAGUGCAAGACAUGCUGAUGAGAGAAAGAGCCCACCACCCACUUCUGAUGCAAAGGGACAUGUAGGAACCCAGGUCUUGGUUGUUCUUCACAGCAGCUUAGUAAGAGUCCAGCUAGGAAGUAAUCAAGCAGAACUGCAACACAUGGUAUUUUAGGCAGGAUGAGAACACACAGAAUAUAUUUCACCCAUCAAAUGCAGCUUCCUUCUGUGAGGAAAUGCAUAAGUUUCCUGUAUUGCAUGGUGGAAGGAAAGCUUCAAGGUAACCUGACCUAAGCUAUUAAUAUCUAAUCAGGUUCCUCUGGCUCUUUCAGUGUCUUUGCCUACUUUGUAUUCAUUUAGUGAAGGCAGCUGGUAUAAUGUGUGUAUGUUUCUAUCUACCCUGUCUUGGAAAACAGACUGUGCUGUAAUGUGAGGGCCAAGGCAAGCUGCGCCCAUGCUGAGCUAUCUGUCAUGUAACUGAAGAAUGGUUUGUUUAAUUGACUGAGAUUGUCUUUAGCAACCCAUUCAGAAGGAUUGAGAAAUUAUUUUUUUAGUUGACAUAUUUGCUUCCCCCAGUGAGGACUUCAGUUUGUUAUCAUUAGCAGCAACUUUCUAUCUGAUUUUGUCAGAAUUCUGCUUGAUUCUUUCAGAACAGCCAAAGCUGACAGCUGUUUUAAGCAGGAGGAAAACUGACUUCAUUAGUUCUGUGCUGUCAGCACUGGAAACUGUGUGUUUAAAGUUAUAUGCAUACAUAUAUAUAUAUAAUAUACAUAUAUUUCAUUUUACAGCAUAAAAUAAUAAGGCAGGAACCGUUCAUUUAAUAUAUCAAAGUGCUGUGCACAACUAUUGUUCUGUAUCAUAAAAGCAAUAUAAGGUAAAUCACUUAUACAUUUACUUGUGUACGACUUAAAAUAUCUAAAGCUGGAAUCAAAUAUACUUCAGUUUCAAACUAAUUGAAAGUUAUCAUUUAAAACUGCCGAACCUGUGUUUUGGUGCUGUAGUAAAUCAGACUUUCAAGGUCUUGUGAUUUUGACCAGCACAGAGCGUGCAGUCUUUCAGAACGUUUAAGCAGAAAGAAAAGCAAAAUUAUUAAUAAAUGUUCUGUAAUAACAUUCUGUUAUCCUUCACAGCCCUGUUAUCCUUCCCUCACACUUUGAUGCUCCCUGGACUUCAUAAGAUGCUUCCGGAUUCCAGGUUUAGGUCCUGCCCCUCUUUGCAAACAAAUAUUUUCCUAGCGUGUGUCCCGAUCCAGUAUCGGGGGGGUUUCGUUACGAUCCCAAGGACGAGAUUAAGAUGCUAAAUCUGGUCAAAUAUUGUACAACCUUUU